AUUGAACGCUGGCGGAAUGCUUUACACAUGCAAGUCGAACGGCAGCACGGACUUCGGUCUGGUGGCGAGUGGCGAACGGGUGAGUAAUGUAUCGGAACGUGCCCAGUCGUGGGGGAUAACGAAGUGAAAAUUACCUUAAUACCGCAUACGAUCUAUGGAUGAAAGCGGGGGAUCGCAAGACCUCGCGCGAUUGGAGCGGCCGCAAUCAGAUUAGGUAGUUGGUGGGGUAAAGGCCCACCAAGCCACCGAUCUGUAGCUGGUCUGAGAGGACGACCAGCCAAACUGGAACUGAGACACGGUCCAGACUCCUACGGGAGGCAGCAGUGGGGAAUUUUGGACAAUGGGCGAAAGCCUGAUCCAGCCAUUCCGCGUGCAGGAUGAAGGCCCUCGGGUCGUAAACUGCUUUUGUACAGAACGAAAAGGUUUCUACUAAUACUAGGAGCUCAUGACGGUACUGUAAGAAUAAGCACCGGCUAACUACGUGCCAGCCGCCGCCCGUAA
rnacentral:rRNA from 1 species